GAUGAACGCUGGCGGCGUGCCUAAUACAUGCAAGUCGAGCGAACAGACGAUGAGCUUGCUCCUCUGACGUUAGCGGCGGACGUGUGAGUAACACGUGGAUAACCUACCUAUCAUACUGGUAUAACUUCGGGAAACCGGAUCUAAUACCGUAUAAUCUAUUGAACCGCAUUGUUCAAUAGUGAAAUACGGUGUUGCUGGCUCUUAUAGAUGGAUCCGCGCCGCAUUAGCUAGUUGGUAAGGUAACGGCUUACCAAGGCAACGAUGCGUAGCCGACCUGAGAGGGUGGUAGGCCACAUGGGAACUGAGACACGGACAAGACUACUACGGGAGGCAGCAGUCGGGUAUGUUAGGCAAUAGGCGGAAGCCUGGCGGAGCAACGCCGAGUGAGUGAUGAAGGUCUUCGGAUCGUAAAACUCUGUUAUUAGGGAAGAACAAAUGUGUAAGUAACUAUGCACGUCUUGACGGUAACUAAUAAGAAAGCACCGGCUAACUACGUG
rnacentral:rRNA from 1 species